GACGAACGCUGGCGGCGUGCCUAAUACAUGCAAGUUGAGCGCUGAAGGUUGGUACUUGUACCGACUGGAUGAGCAGCGAACGGGUGAGUAACGCGUGGGGAAUCUGCCUUUGAGCGGGGGACAACAUUUGGAAACGAAUGCUAAUACCGCAUAACAACUUUAAACACAGGUUUUAAGUUUGAAAGAUGCAAUUGCAUCACUCAAAGAUGAUCCCGCGUUGUAUUAGCUAGUUGGUGAGGUAAAGGCUCACCAAGGCGGUGAUACAUAGCCGACCUGAGAGGGUGAUCGGCCACAUUGGGACUGAGACACGGCCCAAACUCCUACGGGAGGCAGCAGUAGGGAAUCUUCGGCAAUGGACGAAAGUCUGACCGAGCAACGCCGCGUGAGUGAAGAAGGUUUUCGGAUCGUAAAACUCUGUUGGUAGAGAAGAACGUUGGUGAGAGUGGAAAGCUCAUCAAGUGACGGUAACUACCCAGAAAGGGACGGCUAACUACGUGCCAGCCGCCGCGGUAA
rnacentral:rRNA from 1 species